rnacentral:rRNA from 1 species
GACGAACCGUGCAAACGUUAUUCGGAAUCACUGGGCUUAAAGGGUGCGUAGGCGGGCUCGUAAGUCAGGGGUGAAAGCCCACGGCCCAACCGUGGAAGUGCCUCUGAUACUGCGAGCCUCGAGGGGGAUAGGGGCGUGCGGAACUCAGGGUGGAGCGGUGAAAUGCGUAGAUAUCCUGAGGAACACCGGUGGCGAAAGCGGCGCGCUGGAUCCCUACUGACGCUGAGGCACGAAAGCCAGGGGAGCAAACGGG